GUUGGCGGCCGUUACCGCCCGCUACCGGGGGGCUGUGGAGAGCGGUUAAUCCGACGCUCCGACUGAGGAGCCGGCCGGUGCCCGGCGCGCCCUAUCCCAGGGGCGGAGUGCAGCACCCUCUGAAACGAACGCCUUUUAUCUUUAAAAUAAGUGCCUUAUUUACAGCCUGAGGUCUGCUUGAUUUCGUUUUUUGCCACGAGGCCGUGUCCGAUUGCUAGUGCAGCCCCCCCAGGAACAGAUCUCCGUAUGUAUACACAUACCUCUGUGCGCAUAUGUGCUCGUCAACGAAGCUCAGGUGAGCUCUCGACAGUCUUGACUUCAAACUGAGGAGAUGGAGUCCCUCGGCUCUGCGGUCGAUGAGCGUCUUUUCAGACCUUUAGCCCUUUCAAACGUGGCACACCAAAAACUCAAAAAACUGCUUAUUAAGGCUAGAUCCCAUGUAUGUUUCCAGGUGCACCCUGUUUACCCAGAGUUCCAAGUCACUUUGUAAGCGACUUCAGCCUCCAUUGUUUCCCACACCCACAGUUCUUGCAUCCUUUGCUGUUCUGACUUGGUGAUAAUUCGGUAUAGCUUCUUCAAGAUCACUGUUGCCAUGAUUUACUUCACUGUGGGAGCUGUGCUUACCUCAGUGAUGUCAGCAGAAAUGUGAUUGACAAACCGAGUGCAAAUGUCUGUUGGGACAGCAGGUCAAGCAAAGAGUAACUUUAUUUAACAGCUGAAGCAGGAGGUCACAUGCUAUUAACUAUCAACAGAUGUAACUUGAACAUCACAAGCAUGACAUACAGCUGGUUAAAGCAAGAAGUUGCAGAAGUCUCAACCUAAUGGAUGUGCCAGGCUCUGAAACUUAAGACAUAGUGGACAAAUCCUAAUGAGACAGUCACAGCAUCAUAACAAGAUACUGCUGGGCAGAUUCUUCUCUUGAAGGACGAUUAGAUUAAUAGCAUGUGCAUGUUUUGAAGUUGACAGCAAGAAUACAGGACCUGUUUUCUAGAAGAAGGCUGCUGACUCUGGUGUGGCUUCACCAUCCAGCGGUUUCACUCGUCAAGCUUGUUUACAUUCCUGCCUGUAUGUUCCAUUCCCUCCCAGUGAAAGUUUGCCACUCCCAAUGCUGCCGCUAAAAAACAGCGUCAGGUGGAGCUGUGGCCUGAGCCCCUGUAAGGAUCUGACUUAAAAACAGCAGUCAAAAAAAAGUCAUGUUUACCUGUAUCAUGUCAGGGAUCUAUUGACAGGGCAGCUUCACAAAUAGGCACCAUGUCAUUACUGGAGGAGCACCGAGCUGGAGUACAAAAUACAGAAACCCAAUGGCCAGGAGCAAAGGGAGACAGAAAUUUCUUAAGGCCAAACCAUCUUUGAAACCAUGCUGAUUACAAACAUGCUGCUUGAGUGCUAGAGUAGACAUUAAUGCCAGAAUGCAACUGGAAGGAACAAACUAUCUUCAGAUUUGUUCUAUCCAGUAUUAUCAGCGUGUUCUCCAAGAACAGGAUUUUCGCUUCCAGUAAGAAUCCAGAUGCUGAAAGGUACAGAGUGAUGAGAGAAGGAGCUCAGAGAUAUGGGACAAGAGAACUGAGCAGACUGAUGUGUGAUACUGUAAGUGGGAAGGAACUAGAGACAAUGAUCAACUGACUGUAGAAAUCAUGUCUAGUACACAGUGGUCACAUAAUAUUCUGUCUUUUGCUUUCAGCUGUUUUACUCAUACUGUUCUUCUCAUUACUAAGUAAAUCCUUCACUAGCCAGUGCAGACCAGCUGGGAUUUUCUUGUUGGUUUUAGGAAUGAAUGUUCCAACACUAGCAGCAAAUUUUUCUAAGUAAGAAGCACUUACUGGUAUGGCUCUUUCUGUCCGUACAACAAACCCUUGCUUUGACAGGUUUUAAUGCUCAGUAGUUAGACAUUGUUUAAAUUAAUCUGUUUACAAAAUCAAAAUUUGCCAAUAUAUCUUUUCCAAUAAGCCUCUUUUUAAGCUUCUCACUUGGGAUUAUUUAAGGAUGACGUUUGAGGCUUCUCAAAACCACAAAGAAUUACCACUUUUAGUGGCAUAGUGCCAGCUGUUAACACCUAGCUCAUAUAAAAUCAGGUGCAGUCACUAAGUUAGUAAUAAGAUUUAACUUCAAGGGGCUUUGACUUAAUACUUUAGUGCUGCUUUUAAUUUUUGUAUAUACAAAACCAAUAAAUUGUGGUUUUUUAGAGAAAGAGUGACAGGCAUUUUAGGAAGACCAGAGGCAGACAUGCAAAGGUGUUAUUCACAUUUGCUCAUUUCAAAAAGGUUUUCUUUAUUUCAAGUAUUUCCAGAUCCUGUCCUUUUCUCAUCUCCUGUGGAGUUCAAAUGAUUGCUAGUUCCCAAAAUCUUUGUAUUGUAAUAGCAUCUUCCUCCUCGUAUCUGAGUGAUACUGUUCAGUAGCAAGAAUCUGUAUUGGUUAUUUUAAUGUUAGAAUUGUAGUACUGAAAUCAUAAGGACAAAAGUAUCAGUUGAGGUGCUGUUGUAAUGAAGAUAUGCUUUCAUUUCUAGACAGGAGUCCAGUUCAACCAGCAUCACUAGGAAAAAUGUGCAGCUUUCUUAACAGAUGUUCAUUGAGUAAAAUGAGUCCCAUGGAGCCUUCACCAAAACUGUGGUAUUUUAGCAAAAUUUAAAAUGUUUAGUGCAGUGAAUUUUAUAUAAAUUCAGUUUUGAAAAGUCUUUAUUUCACUUCCUAAUGUAACAAAUGCUUUACUGUCUGUUCCUUGUAAAAUAUAUAAAUACUCAUCAACUCAUUAAAAAAAUAUAUAAAGCCAGAUGGUGCAAAGAAAAUGUUUCCAUGGAGUUGUAAUUUACAAUUUAAAUAGUGAUUAGAACAGUAUUCUUGUUGUCUAAUUAGAGAGUACUUGUGUUCAUUCAGAAGUGUGUGUAGAAUAAUGUUGAUUACUCUUGGUAGGUUUACACCCUCUCUUUAUGACCGAAGACCCACACAAAGAGAAUCAAAUAAUGAGUGGUGAUUUUAGAACAGUAAAUGUGAGGCAAAAAGCGCCAGAGAUUAGUCAGGGAGAAGAAUAUGAGGAUUCCAGGAACCAGUGGUCGUAUCAACUCAACAAAGGUGUGUGAGCAGGUGGGACAGGGGAAAAGAAAUUCUAGAAAUGUUUGGCAGCAGCCAUCUCUGAGCCUCUAUAAAGACUGUUGUAAAGGAAAUAAGGCUGCGUUUUCAAGUUACCUUGUUCCUGAGAAAUCAGCCAAGUGCAUUGCAAUGGCUGUUCUGCUCCAGGUGGCAGUUGCAUACCCUGCUUGUGCUGGAUGGUUUGUACUUCUGAUGGCAGCCAGGAGGUUGUGAUCACAGUGAACACCAGAAGGUUUUUAAGUUUGGCACAGAUGAUAAUACCUUCUA